AGCAGCCGCGGUAAUUCCAGCUCCAAUAGCGUAUAUUAAAGUUGUUGCAGUUAAAAGCUCGUAGUUGAAUUUCGGGAUUGACACAUCGGUCGUGCCUUAAGGGGUAUGAACUGGUGUAGUCAAUUUCUCACCUUCUGGAGAACCGCGAUGCCCUUAAUUGGGUGUCGCGGGGAACCAGGACCUUUACUUUGAAAAAUUAGAGUGUUUAAAGCAGGCAUUUUGCUUGAAUACAUUAGCAUGGAAUAAUAAAAUAGGACGGCAUGAUUCUAUUUUGUUGGUUUCUAGGAUCACCGUAAUGAUUAAUAGGGAUAGUUGGGGGCAUUAGUAUUCAAUUGUCAGAGGUGAAAUUCUUGGAUUUAUUGAAGACUAACUACUGCGAAAGCAUUUGCCAAGGAUGUUUUCAUUAAUCAAGAACGAAAGUUAGGGGAUCGAAGACGAUCAGAUACCGUCGUAGUCUUAACCAUAAACUAUGACCGACUAGGAAUCAGACGAUGUUAAUUUUUAAUGUACUUCGUUUGGC
rnacentral:misc_RNA from 1 species